rnacentral:sRNA from 1 species
ACAACUUGUGUCGUUAAGCCGACAAAGGUGACUAACAUUGUCGUAUGCGUGGUCGUCACG